UUGGUACCCCACUAGUUACCUUCCUCCAGUUUGAGAAGACACCAUUGAUGAGCACUCUUUGUUCCAGAUUUGGCAGCUAAUUUUGGAUCCGUUUGGUUUUUUUUAAUCUCGUCCACUUUUUGCUAAUUCACUUAUCAGGACAUUGUGGGGUACUAUGUAAAAGCUCUGCUACAGUCAAGACAUACACCAAGAGUUCUCUAAAAUGUGCCAUCAAGCUUCAUUCUGCUUUUUCACCACUCAGAGGAGAUACAUGAAGCCCAGCCCUGACUCCAUUAAUGAAUACAAGGAAGUUGCAGGAGAAUCUGCAUGUUGCUCUAACUUCUCCCAUUUUCUUCAUUUUGACAAUACAUCAUUGCCGUUCUCCGUCACAUCUUACCAAUGAAUUUUUCAAACUAU